rnacentral:rRNA from 1 species
AGUGAACGCUGGCGGCGUGCUUAACACAUGCAAGUCGAACGAGAACGGAUUAUAGCUUGCUAUAAUUGUCAGCUAAGUGGCGCACGGGUGAGUAAUGUAUAGGUAAUAUGCCUCUUACUAAGGGAUAACAAAUGGAAACGUUUGCUAAUACCUUAUACUCCUUAUUAACAGAAGUUAAUAAGGGAAAGAUUUAUUGGUAAGAGAUUAGCCUGUAUUGUAUCAGUUAGUUGGUGGGGUAAUGGCUUACCAAGACUAUGACACAUAACUGGUUUGAGAGGAUGAUCAGUCACACUGGAACGAAGACACGGUCCAGACUCCUACGGGAGGCAGCAGUGGGGAAUAUUGCACAAUGGACGGAAGUCUGAUGCAGCAACGCCGCGUGGAGGAUGACACAUUUCGGUGCGUAAACUCCUUUUAUAUGAGAAGAUAAUGACGGUAUUAUAUGAAUAAGCACCGGCUAACUCCGUGCCAGCAGCCGCCGUAA